UGGCGAGCGUUAUCCGGAUUUAUUGGGCGUAAAGCGUGCGCAGUCGGCUUGUUAAGUCUAAGAUAAAAGCCCGGAGCUUAACUCCGGUUCGUCUUAGAAACUGGCAGGCUUGAGUAUGGUAGAGGCAAAUGGAAUUCCUAGUGUAGCGGUGGAAUGCGUAGAUAUUAGGAGGAACACCAGUGGCGAAGGCGAUUUGCUGGGCCAUUACUGACGAUCAUGCACGAAAGCGUGGGGAGCAAAUA
rnacentral:rRNA from 1 species